UACGUAGGGGGCAAGCGUUGUCCGGAUUUAUUGGGCGUAAAGAGCGCGUAGGCGGUCCGGUAAGUCCGCUCUGAAAGUCCGGGGCUCAGCCCCGGGAGGCGGGCGGAUACUGUCGGGCUAGAGUCCGGAAGAGGCGAGUGGAAUUCCUGGUGUAGCGGUGAAAUGCGCAGAUAUCAGGAGGAACACCAAUGGCGAAGGCAGCUCGCUGGGACGGUACUGACGCUGAGGCGCGAAAGCGUGGGGAGCAAACAGG
rnacentral:rRNA from 1 species